UACGGGGGGGGCAAGCGUUGUUCGGAAUUACUGGGCGUAAAGGGCUCGUAGGCGGCCAACUAAGUCAGACGUGAAAUCCCUCGGCUUAACCGGGGAACUGCGUCUGAUACUGGAUGGCUUGAGUUUGGGAGAGGGAUGCGGAAUUCCAGGUGUAGCGGUGAAAUGCGUAGAUAUCUGGAGGAACACCGGUGGCGAAGGCGGCGAUCCUGGACCAACACUGACGCUGAGGAGCGAAAGCCAGGGGAGCAAACGGG
rnacentral:rRNA from 1 species